rnacentral:lncRNA from 1 species
UGCUGAUUCUUUUCAAAUUGGAUAUGACAGCGUAACAAGAGUAGAAGAGAAACAUCUGGACUUUAUGAAAUAGUUGGUUAUGGGAAAAGGCUCUGUGUUUUCAAGGUGGUGGUGCAUUCCAGUUUGAGGGCCCAAGCACUGAUCUACCAAUGAUCUUCACACCCUUAUCACCACUAUACCAGCACAAGGUGAGAAAGCACAAGAAGGCAGCUGCCUGCAAGAAGCCAGGAAGAGGUCCCCCAGCAGAAACCGAACCUGCCGUCACCUUGAUCAUUGACAUCCCA